CCAGUUGUGGAUUGAGGAGGGAGUACCUUUCAGCAACCCCUUCUUGCCAAACUGGGGAGAAAAAUACCACCAGUCCUUUGCUGAGGGGUGGCGCUUGAAGGUGUAAAAAUACCUAAAUAAAGAGAGAGAUGGCUGAACUUCAACUACGUGGCAAAGGGAGAGGAACCCUAUCAAAAACCUAAAGGAAUUCGGCACGACUGAAGCUAAAGAAAUGUCUAAAAAA
rnacentral:lncRNA from 1 species